rnacentral:rRNA from 1 species
CCUACGGGUGGCAGCAGUGAGGAAUAUUGGUCAAUGGGCGUGAGCCUGAACCAGCCAAGUAGCGUGAAGGAUGACUGUUCUAUGGGUCGUAAACCUCUUUUAUAAAGGAAUAAAGUGCGGGACGUGUCCCGUUUUGUAUGUACCUUAUGAAUAAGGAUCGGCUAACUCCGUGCCAGCAGCCGCGGUAAUACGGAGGAUCCGAGCGUUAUCCGGAUUUAUUGGGUUUAAAGGGGGCGUAGGCGGGCUUUUAAGUCAGCUGUGAAAGUCUGUGGCUCAACCAUAAAAUUGCCGUUGAAACUGGGAGGCUUGAGUACGGUUGAGGUAGGCGGAAUGCGUGGUGUAGCGGUGAAAUGCUUAGAUAUCACGAAGAACUCCGAUUGCGAAGGCAGCUUGCCAAGCUACGACUGACGUUGAUGCACGAAAGUGUGGGGAUCAAACAGGAUUAGAUACCCUUGUAGUC